rnacentral:rRNA from 1 species
ACGAACGUUGGCGGCGUGGAUUAGGCAUGCAAGUCGUGGGCGACUGGGGGCAACUCCAGUUGACCGGCGUAAGGGGUAGUUAUGCAUGGGUAACCAACCCUCCAGAUGGGGAUAACCCAGGGAAACCUGGACUAAUACCCAGCGACGUUGCGAGGGGGCAUCUCUUUGCAACCAAAGGUGUGAUUCCGCUGGAGGACGGGCUCAUGUGGUAUUAGCUAGUUGGUAGGGUAACGGCCUACCAAGGCUACGAUGCCUAGGGGGUGUUAGCGCACGACCCCCACCACUGGGACUGAGACACUGCCCAGACACCUACGGGUGGCUGCAGUCGAGAAUCUUCGGCAAUGGGCGCAAGCCUGACCGAGCGACGCCGCGUGCGGGAUGAAGGCCUUCGGGUUGUAAACCGCUGUCAGAGGGGCGGAAAUCCAGGGGGGCUAUCCCCCUUGGUUGACUUAUCCUCAGAGGAAGGACGGGCUAAGUUCGU